UCGAGUUUUGAACGGGUUGUUGCUGGCCUCAUACGGGGCAUGUGCACGCCUGACUUCAUCCACUCUUCAAACCCCCUGUGCACUUAUUGUAGGCUAGCGUGAAAGGUCGCAUUCAUUUGCGGCUGGAAGCCUGUCUACGGUUUUACUUACAAACGCUUCAGUUAUAGAAUGUUUUAUCUGCGUAUAACGCAUUUAUAUA
rnacentral:misc_RNA from 1 species